GGGGUUGUGGCUCAGUGGUAGAGUGCUUGCCUAGCAAGCACUGGGUUCGAUUCUCAGCACCA
rnacentral:tRNA from 1 species